ACUCCUACGGGAGGCAGCAGUGGGGAAUAUUGCACAAUGGGCGCAAGCCUGAUGCAGCCAUGCCGCGUGUAUGAAGAAGGCCUUCGGGUUGUAAAGUACUUUCAGCAGUGAGGAAGGUGGGUAUGUUAAUAGCAUAUUCAUUUGACGUUAGCUGCAGAAGAAGCACCGGCUAACUCCGUGCCAGCAGCCGCGGUAAUACGGAGGGUGCGAGCGUUAAUCGGAAUUACUGGGCGUAAAGCGCAUGCAGGUGGUUUGUUAAGUCAGAUGUGAAAGCCCCGGGGCUCAACCUCGGAAUUGCAUUUGAAACUGGCAAACUAGAGUACUGUAGAGGGGGGUAGAAUUUCAGGUGUAGCGGUGAAAUGCGUAGAGAUCUGAAGGAAUACCGGUGGCGAAGGCGGCCCCCUGGACAGAUACUGACACUCAGAUGCGAAAGCGUGGGGAGCAAACAGGAUUAGAUACCCCCGUAGGCUCUGC
rnacentral:rRNA from 1 species